rnacentral:lncRNA from 1 species
GCCAGCCAGCCAGGCUAUGAACACAUUGCAGGGCCUGAGGGCAGUACUGUGGACAACCUGCGCUGUGUUCACAUGGCUGAGCAGAGCGCGAGUGAGGAAGACUGGCACGCUGAAACCAAACAGGUGUAUGAUUCAGAGGCGUGAGCUGUGAAGGGUGAAUUUUUCUUAUACAAGUCAAUGUUGCUUUUGGAGCAAACAGCAGCUUGGAGCUGUCCCAGGAAACAUUUACACGCAAUGUGACUUUUUCCCUUCUGCAGCAGAAAUGAAUUCCUAUUGUUCCUCAGACAUUCCCAGUCUGACUCUGUUCUCGCUCUGGGAUUCAAGGUAAAUAUUGCCUUAAAAUCAUUCGUCAACAUGGCGACUUAGAUCUACAGUAAGUAACGCCAUCUGGAGUCUGCAUGUCGCUAAUAAGUGUCGUUCUGGUUUCGAACCGUGGUGUUUUCCUGUGAAGUCUGUGGAUUUUUCUCUCAUGAGUUCUCAGUUUGUGUGGGAGGCCUCUUCAUUUAGCUUCUACUGUCACAGCUCUAUUUAUUGAUCUCACGCUGACAAACACUCAUCACUUUCUGUGCGUCACGAGGAUUUUAUUUGGAAAGAUCUGUCCGGAAACUGGAGCAGAUUCAGAAACUCACCGUUUGUUACAUAAAACCCUUUAUUUUAAAUCAUUGUUAGUGUUUGUUUCUGUUUUAUUUCAUGUUGCAGAGUUAGUGACGCUCUCAGCUCUGAAUCAUUUCAACAUCAUCUCCGCCGUUCAGAUUAAAAAUCACUUUUUAUAGAAGUCAAGCCUGAUCAGGGUUUACAGUCAUGAUUGGACGAUUUUAGGUGCAAAUUAUCGGGCAGGAAAAUACACAAAAAAUCUCAUUUUAAGAUUCACCUCAGACUGCAGUUCGCCUGCAGGAAAGACUGUGAAAAGGUGACUCCGGCACCAGUAAAAGGAGAGUUAAUGGUCAACUGGAAUCAAUGGAAAUGAAUGUUUGAUUAGGAGAUGAUAGUUUUCUCUGUGAAGCUGCAAAACAGCCACCAAAAAACAAGUCUGGAAACAUGAUCAAUUAAUAAUUAAAUAGAUUAAUUUAAAAUGUAGUUUAAGUUUAUUUCUUAGAUUAUAAAAUAUUGGAUUUGUGCUGCUUUUUCCUACUAAAAUCACUGAAUAUAAAGAGUUUAAAACUUGGAUAAAAUCUGAAAUUAAAAGUAGUUUUAGUUGAAUUACCUGUUUUUAUUCUGCUGUGUAAAGGCGGUUUUAAUGUUUCUUUAUUUGGGUCUUUAAAUGUGAGUUUAAAGGCUGAAACGGGGUCAUCAUUUAACCGUUUGACUUUUCAGUCUUUCGAAUAAGUUCUUGCUAACCUGGGGGACUUUUAGUAAUCAACUUAUUGAUCGUAGUUCUGAGCCAAUUAGAUUACCUUUUCAGUAAUCUAGCUGUGUCCCUGUAUCUCUGCAAUUACCACGAUAGUAGAAAAGUGAUGGCACGAAAACACAACAGUGAUACCAAAGUGUUUUUAGGCUCGACACAGAGACACAAACAAGUGGGUGUUACUGUUUUUAACUUUUAACAACCGAUAAUCAAUGAGAGAUUAAAGUAAUAUUCACAUUUUAGAGCUCUGACCUGCGAACCCGAAGAAGCUCGGCGUUUAAUAAUCCGCUUUAACAAGAAAUCAACAGACCUCUGCUCACUCCGAAUACAGAAAUGACAGCGUGUCCCGGAGGAGUCUGUACAGAAGCGAACAUAAAUCUGGGCUGCACAGUCACUCCUUGAAGGCUGGACCUCGGGGUUAAGAUAAGAGACCAUGUUAGCGGUUAUUAAGUGAAAGUUUCCAAUCGAUAGCCGGGGAGACGUAAUCAGGGAGGGUUUAAUUGCAGAGGGGAAGACAUCUAUUCAGGUUAUUGCAGCAGCUGUCCAGAAAAGCUUCAUUUUUUCUGCUCCAGAGUCUCCCUCCAACGUCCGACCCGGGCUGACCCCCUGAAAGGCUGCGGCUCGCUCCACGCCGGACAUUUAGUGAUAUCACUUGGUGUUUCUUUGGUGACAUUUAUAUGAGUCAAACACUGACGCCAUACAUCGUGAAAAAGGCCUGUUUCCCGGCUCUAAAUCUCCCCCUUUAAACACAUAUAGUUGUUAUUUAUUCUGCUGCUGAUGCAUGCUGUAAACAUAAUGCUGACAACUCCACUUUCUGUCGUUGUAAAUAGCUCAAAAAAUGUGACUCUACACCUUUCUUUGUCACAAAAGUAGGAAUCAAGUGAGCACAGGGGAAAUGUUUAUUGGCUUUCCGGAAAGAAAAGAGAAACUUAUGAGUACAACUCUUUUCUUUUUUAUACGGCUCUGAAUUCUCUGAAGCAUUAACCUUUAAAAAUCAGAUUUACAUCUACAUUUGUCAACCUCCUCCUGGCAAUAAACACCUCAGAGACUCCAAACAUCUCCCAUGACCUCAGAAAAUAUUCGCUCUCGUUAUAUAUCAACCAUCACUUACAACUCCGGCUAAAUAAAUCAGUGAAUACAAUAAUUAUGCCUUUUCUCCGUCCUGUCAGGAGGAAAUAAAGCCGUCUGAUCCAGCACAAACUGAAGGGACUUUUGAAACAAUAUCCCCACAUUAAUCACUCACAUUUAUGCUGCUUUUUUACUAAUAAGACGCCAAUCAAGAGGAGCGGCCACUUCAGGAUCAGACCAGAGGGGUGAUCCUUUCUCUGUGUGUUUCUACAGAUGAGGUUUUAUUCUCUAUUAUUAUUUAAUUUAAUAUUAUUGUAACACUUUAUGAACAUCGCUCUAAUUUGUCAUGACUGAUUAUCACUUAUAAAUAAUUGUUAUAAAGCACGUUUGUCGAGCCUCAUAAAUUCAUCUGUUAGAGUUGAGUUUAUAUGAAAGUUUAUUUUUAAAUACAGUUCAAUCUCUUUCAUAUUUAAGCAUUGUUUUGAUUUAAAUUAAAAUAUUGUAGAUUCUAAUGAAUUGAGUCAAAACUAUUUUAAUCCCAGAUUGUAGAUAAUCCGAUAGUAGAACUAGAUGUCUGAUGUUACAAAGUGAACACACUGAAACCACAUGGAGGUGAUAUUUAGUGUAUUUAUCAGAGAACAUAUAUUUUCAAAUAAAUCUUCACCUUUUAGAGUUUAAUACAAAUCCUAUUGUGAUUUGUUGUUAAAUAAGUUUAGUGUUGCUUCAUGAGCUGAAAAUAGUUUGACCUAGAGGACCUUUAAUUUUCAUUUUUUAUGGAAAAUCCAACAAAACAGGAAACUGACUAAGACUUUAUUAGGCAUGUACUGAUAUAUUUAUACAUAACCUACUUUUAUGUCUGACCCUAACCCUAACCUGAACAUCAAUCAAUUAAUCAAUUGAUCAAUCAGACUUUAUUUGUAUUGCACUUUUCAUACAGUGUGAUGUCGUGCAGAGUACUUUACAUAAACAGAAAAUCAUUAAAAACCCUAAAUCACUCAUGUAUUAAGACAAACAGGCAAGUAAGAAUUUAGAAAUUAAGUAAUAAUAAUUAAAAAAAACAAUAAAAGUCAUGAUGUAACUUAUUUGAACAUAAUAGUUCUCUGUCCACGUCGUAAAUUAAAUUUUCAGUCAAGUUCAGAUAUUUUUUCUCAUUUGUUAGUUUUUUUAAAUAGCUGAAAAUUGUCAAAUACAAAUAUCUAACAUCAAUAUGAUCUGUUUCAUUUUUAGUGUAAAAUGUCUUAUAAUAAGUAUACAGCUUUUCUUAAAAAAAAAAGUACAACAUAAACAAAACACGACUGAUCAGAAUUAAAUCACGUUUAAUUGAGUCUCUGGAGCAGCGACAGUCAGACAGCCGACCAAUCAGAGCGCACUUUUCUCUCUUGUCACACACUUUGGUCUUUUUGUAGUUCACGCAGACUAAACCUGCAACAUGGAAACAAAUUGCUUCAUAAUUUUGACAAGAGCAACUUUAUUUUAAUAUAGCAGUUCGUAACAGUGUGCAGCUCAAAUUGCUAUUUUUAGGAAGUUAAAAAACUAAAUUUAUGGAAACAUUUAAUCAGACAGAAAUUCUGAUCCCACAGAGUGUCCUGGAUAAAAAGAUGUAUAUUACAUGACAGACUAUUGAUUAACAGUUUGCACAAGGACGAGACAAAAACAGCAAAAAAAAGAGAGUUCCCACUUUGUCCACAGGGGGCGCCAAAGACAGAACAGACAACAAGUUCCUCACUGGAGCUUUAAGACAAAAACAAAAUCUGCUGAGAUGAGUCUGAGGCCGUUCAGUAACCCUAAAAAAACCACCUGAUCCACUAUAAACACCCUCAGAAAACUGGAGCAUUUCCAGACCAGUUAAACCAGUUAAACCAGUUAAAGAGCCUCUGCUGCAUGAAUCUGUCUGAUCAUAAUAAAAAGAGUCACAUUCAUUCACUUCUGCUCCUGCCUUGUUCCAGCCGGCUCAUUUCUGGCUCCAUGUGCUGCCUGAUCACCAAAAUCCAAAGGCGACUCAUUGCGGGGAAUUUCCUGCCAUGAAAACGAUGAUGAUGAUGUGAAUGGAUGGCUGACGCCGUGUCAAAUCCAGUAGAUGUCAGUAAAUUGGAACAUAUGUUACUUAAACUAUAACAUCAUGAUAAUUCUCCUCCAAGAUGGCUCAUAAAACUGGAAUUUAUUGGGCUAAAUCUGGGGUGAUGAUAACAUAGAUAAUUUUUAAUGGAAGGUUAAUGCGGGAAUCAAAAGAUAAAAAUGGACCCUUUGGCCUUGUAUCAGCUGGAUCCCAGAAAAUCGGAGCGGUUUUUAUGCACCGUGGGGUGUUCCCCUUUCAUUACAUUUUAUAGCUCCAAGCAUAAAAAUAUACGGAACAUUUUCAUGGCUAAUAAAACCCCAGAUCUUUACAUGAUAAGCAGAAUGGAGACACUGUAGAGGAAAAAAAGAAAGAAAGAAAGAAAAAAAAAAAUAUUCCCUUUGCUGUUUGUCCCAGCAGAGUGAGGAGCGUGUUCAGCUGCUCGGGAGCCAAACCUCCUCCCAGUGGAGAGACUCUGCUCCGACACAAGCACCGAGCGCCUCCUCUAUUCCCACAGACGCACUUUUAAAAUAGGCCACAUUGGAGAAAACAUGACUUUUCACUAUUCUAAUAAAUGGGAGCCUGCCUGUUUAUUAUUAAUGACAUCCCAGCACACUUUUCAGAUUUGGUUGGUGUUACGCUCAGUGAGUAAUUUAUAUUCAUGCCAGCGUGAGAGCCUGCCUGUGUAUGCUUACUGUCUUUUUACUGUCAGCUCUGUGUAGUAGUGCCAUGAAAUUUUAAUGUUUACCAGGUCAGUCCUGACCUUCUUAAUCCUGCUGGUUAUUAAUACGCUAAAGCCAACACAGAGGAACAAUUAAUCAAAAACACCUCUUUUCUUCCCUUUUCCACCUUUCAUACAUAUUAAUUAUAUUCGGCUGCCUUGGGCUGAGGAGUGCAUUAACAUGUAUGCACCCUGGCAGAGAAAUAAGUCAAAAAGCGGCGCCGCUCUGCCCCCACGGCGAGGAGGUGCUUCCCCAGGAUUAGCCUUACGACAGCGGGCUGAGUGGCAGGAACUUGAACAUGACGGAGCACUGAUACACUUUCUUGUCCAGACAAUUAUCUGUGGCCUACUUUUUCAAGCUAAUUCAACACACGGACCCCCCAGGUUGUGUGUGAAGCCUCCUGGUGGGGGGGCUGCAGCGGUGGGUGUCAGUCACAGGAGGACCAGACUGCCCCGGAGCAAAGCUGCGGGUCCCGGCUCAGAGGGAGGAGGAGGAGGAGGAGGGGAUGAUUGAAAUAGAAGUUGAGAUGUAGGACACAUAAAUAAAGCGUUUUUUCUUUUUUCCUGGAAUACUCUUCCCUCUGCUCACAUUUACAUAAUACUCCACCGUGCGCACCAUCACUCCCAUCAGCCCCAAGGUUGAUGGAGUCAUGUGACCAGGCAGAGAGCAGCGGGAUUGGACGGUUUUAUCAUCAUGAACCCCCAAAACCUCGUGUUCACCACACAGGUGAUUUUUCCAUCUGUUGCAGCUCCGCAGUCGAAUUUUUGAUCUGAUCCGACUUUAUAAAAUACACAAACCAGUAAAAACACGUAAACAACACCGCAGGAACACUGUCACCUACAGAUGGAGCUCUAACAGACUUUACUCUGUGUGUGUUUUGUGUUCCUCGAGGGCCACCGUAGGCUGCCGUAAACUGUGGCUGUCUGCUGUAAUCUGGUUACUAGUGUUGGUGCUGGAAACCUUUGUUGACGUCCUCUUGAUGAUUUUUCCAUGAAGUUUGUCUGUUUGUCCCUAAAAUGAUAAAGACUCUCCCUCUUCAUCUAUAUGAUCAUAAACUGUGUGUGAGGAUAACUCAGUGUCGACAGGAUUAAAGCGCACAGAGCAGCUCUGAGCAGCAGAGACGCCGAGAUGACAUUUGUUCUUUAAAACAGUAAGCUGCAUGUAGUUGAAUAUUUAUUUGCAUUAUUUAUAUUUUAUAUAUUAAUGAAUAUAUAUUUAGCCUGAUAGAGAAAUCAGCAUCUUCAGAAUUAAACAUAAAAUAAUCUCAUUUAUAUUUGAAAUGACUUUUCUGAGCUCCUGACUUUAAUAACAUCAAACUGUAACUCUCUUUUCUUAAAGUUAAACACAGAGUCAAACCUCAGAUUAAAAAGUACAUUCAGGAAUUAUUAGAUUAUAUCUUUAUUAUAUUUAUGACAGGUGUUGAGAUGUUCACAAACUCAAAGAAAAGCAGCUGAAUCUGUCUUCUAUAACCAGAUCUCAGAGCGAAAAACUUCAUUUUAAACCUUUUUAAUCGCUGAUUUUCUGCCUUUAAUCUUCAUUUUUUCUCCUCUUCUAUACAAACCGGUCAUGUUCGUCUUUUUCUGCAAAGAAAUAACUUGUUGCUGUGACUUUAACGCUCCUGACUGACGGCGGUGAUGUUUUAUAUUUGCCUUCAGUCUCUGAGGUUCAUCACAGAUCUUCACUCUCUAACUCAUCACUGCGUUUCCUUGUUAAAAAUACGAUCCUGAACUUCCUUCUCUCCUCAUUUAUGGUUUUCUUUAAAGCUCAUUUGAGGUUUUAACUCGUUAUAAACAGACGUGAAUUUGCACUGAUGCCUUUUUCCUUUUCGUCUCCAGAUUUGGUUGAAAGACUUUGCUGCAGGAAAAUGUGGAAAUCUCGGUGAGUUGGUGUCUGUAAAUGUUGUUCAGAGCAGAUUGAAGGUGUUGGAGGAGGAUGAACGAGGCUGCAGAUGCUUUGACUGAUCACUGUCUGUUAUGUGAACCCGUCUGUGUUGACAUGUUGUUUUAAAUUGUCUAAGUUUGUUAAUCCUGUAACAGAAAUGUUUUGAGUCUUUUCUGGUUAAAAACAUCAAAAAUCAAACAUCACACGUUAAAACUGGAGCAGCUCGGCCCUAAAACAUCGUCAUCUCUCUCUUUUUUCCAGGAUCAGGCCCCUGACUUCCUGGACCGCCGUACUCGCAGACUUCAUGACCUCCAAGCAGAGCUGGGAGACAAUGUGAGGUCUGGAUGAAAGGGCGUCGGAGAGCGACGGCGACCAUGGGUGGGGGCGAACAGGGGAGGAUGGGAAGCAGAUGGCAGCAGCUCUGUCCCAUCAGCACAACAGAAGGGGGACUCAAGAUGGCCACGGGCCCCCCCUCCUCACAAUAAGGGAGACGCCUUAUCAUCCCGCCAGCGUGAUCCGUUUCUAACAACAACCCCAAAACCUCCCUCCCCUCCCAGCCUCUAAUCACAGCGAACAGGAGCGGCCGAAUCAAUCACCAGGUACUUACAGAGUUACAUUCAAGUCCAGGGUGGCGCCUAUCGCAGGGGCCCUAAAAAUGAGAUCUAGAUGAGGAAAUAUAUUCUUCAAAAUGAGACGGAAUAAAAUCCGGUUUAAGAUGACGGGGCACGACCCGCCUGACGCGCCUCCUGGUCGAC